AUUGUGCAGACAUAGUUUAAAAGCAUCUCUCAGAUAAUAAUCAGAUGCCCAGGAAGAAUGCAUUGCUCUUAAGACUUUAAAUGGAAAAUAUGUGUGACAGAGAGCCAUCUAAAAUAAACAUUUAUUAGAAAUUCUCACUGGGGAAAGGAACACAUUCCCUAGGUCAGUUGUUCUAAAAAUGAACAAGAAUAAGCACACCUGGGAGACUGUUAACCGUGCAGGUUCCUGCAUUCUGGCUCUAGAAUUAUGAUGACUUAAGUCUGGAAUGAUUCCUGGGAAUUUUUGUGUCAACAAACUCCUCAAGUGAUUUUGUUGUAUGUUGUCCACAGGUGCCACUUUGAGAUUCUUAACAAAAGAAGUUCACUGGCAUUGCUGGUUUUUAGCAAAAUAUUAAGGAGAUGUUAAGGAACAUGCUAAAGAUCACUCGGCUGGAAAUGAAGCUCAGAGAGGUUAAAUCAUUUUGCCCAGGUAAUCAGGGCUCAUGGGCCGAAGCCAAGAUUGCCUCACAGUAGAGUUACAGGUAAGAGCCUCUGCUGAAAUCUGACCUGGUACUAAAUGGAGUCUCUCCCGGGCCCUCUUAGUGGUUCCUGAUUACAAAACGUUCUACUGGGCAGUAAAGAAAGAAUGCUUAACACUUUUUUUUUCUAAUGGGAGUUUUGGAGCCUGGAAGGCAGCUUCCAAUUCCUUGUAGAGCCUGAAUCUGACUCUGACCUGAGCAUGUAAUAUUCUCCUGCAAAGCACUGCUUUUAGUCUUCCAAGCACCUAUCAUAUUUCUAUGUGCAUGGUAAGAUACCAAUACAUACUGUAGGGUAAAUAUACAUGUGAAUGGAAAUAUCAUCUCCAUGUGUAUCUCUGCACACAGAGAGCUGUAUCGUACUGUAUUGCAAUAUUCUGUAGGGUCAAUUCCAGUUACCUUUUCUUUUUCCACAUUUCUAGA
rnacentral:lncRNA from 1 species